UAAUACGUAGGGAGCAAGCGUUGUCCGGAAUUACUGGGCGUAAAGGGUGCGUAGGUGGCCAAAUAAGUCAGGUGUGAAAGACCGGGGCUCAACCCCGGGGUUGCACUUGAAACUGUAUGGCUUGAGUACAGGAGAGGGAAGUGGAAUUCCUAGUGUAGCGGUGAAAUGCGUAGAUAUUAGGAGGAACACCAGUGGCGAAGGCGACUUUCUGGACUGUAACUGACACUGAGGCACGAAAGCGUGGGGAGCAAACAGG
rnacentral:rRNA from 1 species